AUGAACUCUGGAUGCAUGCAAGUCCUUGAAGACAACUGGUUUACCAAAAAGGAGCAUUUUCUACAAGUCUCCGAGGAGGAUCAGUCGUGACUCAGGAAGGACAGCCAGUCAGACCUGAUGGUUGAAUUUUCUGUCCAAAGAUGGAAAAAGGAGAUUGGAACCAGCUCUGCAGGGAGCUGGCAGGUUCCUGAGAAAUAUGUGUUCUGCAUGUUAAAGUUGAGCAAAGGACUCUGAUCCAGCAGUAAAGAAAACAAUCUACUUCCUCAUUAAAAAAUACGCUGAAAACCAAAAAGGGUACAAGACUUAAAGGGGAGGUUUUCUCAUUAAAGAGAAGAAAGUGUGAAAUGAGAAAUAACUGCUCAGAUAAAAAGCAAUAGAAUUCCAGAAACGUGGCAAUUUCAUAAUACAGGACAACUUAAGAUGCUAUGGGGCAGCGGGCUUCAGCAGUCCCUCGGGAAAGCAACACUUAAUGGUGAGGUUUCCAUCUCCUCUGUUGUAAGUUUUCAGUGGCAUCAUACUUGAUGCCAUCUUUCCCAGCUGCUGCCAGCUUUGACAUAAGGAGUUCUGCUUUCCAACAACUUCACUUUCUGUUGACUCCACUUGCAGAUGACAGGUGGAGUAGCCUGACUGUCAUAAUGCUGUCCCAGACAGAGAGACUGGUGGCCAGUGUCUGAGAUUGAAUACUGAGACACUCGAGUCACCCUGGGUGCCAAGAACCUUCUAAUCAUUCCCCUUUUACUUGUCAUGUAUAGGGAAAUGGAAUAAAAAAUGCCCCUCAGGAGACAGACCUGAAAUCCAGACAGAAUGGAAGUUUUUGUUUUGUUUUCUCUUCCUGUGUGAGAUUCAUGAACUUUCUAGUGAUUAGAGGACAGUUUCCAAGACAACCUGACUCAAUGCAAGCCUUUGAAGGAAGCCAAACAAAGGAUGAAGGAUGCUAAAGAGGAGAAAUCUGAGACCAAAAGAAUUCAGCAUACGCUAGGGCUGGGGUUGAACUGGACAUCUGAGGAACAACUCAGUGGAGUGUAGACUCCUGAAAAUCCAGCUCCUCAGUGUGUUAUCCUGACCAAUGUCUAAUUGCUAUGGUGCCUCCCCACAGUUCUCCCCACUCCCACACCAUUCUAGGUUCUUCCCUUUAUCCUUGUAAAUUAGAAAGUAUGAAGACAAACUGUGGACAGGACGGGUGACAUCUGUGCACUCCUGACAUUGCAGUACCCUGGGAUGGCUGAGGUGGCUAACUGGCCUGUCAUUCAUUUCUUGACUCUUGCAAGGCAGAAAUCUACCUAGUUUUUAAACAC